rnacentral:rRNA from 1 species
ACCGGAUAUAAGCUGAGAGCAUGUCUCGCUUGGAAAGAGCAAUCCCCUGCGGAGGGCUCGCGUCUAUCAGCUGUUGGUGGGUAAUGGCCUCCAAGGCUGGACGGGUAGCGACCUGAGGGGUAACCGCCACACUGGACUUAGACAGGCCCAGACCCUACGGGAGUAGCAAGUGGAAUUUUGACAAUGGGCAAAGCCUGAGCAGCGACGCGCGUGAGGAUGAAGGCCUCGGGUUGUAACCUCUGUGACAGGGAAAACGUAAUGCGGUACCUGCGAGGAAGCUCGGCUAACCCGUGCCAGAGCCGCGGCAGACGGAGGGGCAAGCGUGUCCGGAUUACUGGGCGUAAGCGCGUGAGGCGGGAUUUAAGUCGGGGUGAAAUCCCUGGCUUA